rnacentral:rRNA from 1 species
UACGGAGGGUGCAAGCGUUGUCCGGAAUCACUGGGCGUAAAGGGCGCGUAGGCGGCUCAUGAAGGCUGUGGUGAAAGCCCGGGGCUCAACCUCGGAACGGCAUUCGAUACGGGACGGCUGGAGACCGGGAGAGGAGAGUGGAAUAGCCAGUGUAGAGGUGAAAUUCGUAGAUAUUGGCUGGAACACCGGUGGCGAAAGCGGCUCUCUGGCCCGGUUCUGACGCUGAGGCGCGAAAGCGUGGGGAGCAAACAGG